UCCCUUCAGUUUUCUGCAAAAGAGAAUAAACAAGAAAAUGAAACUGAUACUGAUGUAUCUUUAAAGACAAUGGAAAAUUUAGUCUGUCAAUAAUUUGAAACAGAAACAGAAUAAGGUAUAACGAACAACGGAAGUGCGAGGCAAGAAUUACUCAGUUGAGCUAAAAUUUUCUGCUUCAUAAAUAGAGUCAACCAACAUUGUACCACCAAUGUGUAUGAUUAGUAUUCUUCAGGCACACAACCUAGACGUAGGUCAGAUGACUCAGAAUGAAAAAAUGGUAGAUGUUUAACUAAACAUAAAAAUCCUCCAUUUGAGCCACUCUCAUUCAUUAUCUUAGAGUUUAACAUCAGACCUUAAACUAAUCAAAUUGGUAGUUUAAGUGAAAAUAACAUAAUCUAUAAGCAUAGAUUAAAUGCAGAAGUAGCAUAGUAGAUCACCAAAAUUUAAAAUCAAUAUUUAAACUUUUCCUACACAGUGUUGCAAUUAUUUUUUUACCUGAAAUGGAAAACUUGCAAAUUUUUUUUCCAAGACAUUUUUAAAAAUUAAUGUAGCCAGAUAAAAUGGUACAGAUUUAUGUCCUUCAAAAUUAUCUAAGCUAAAACAAUUUUCAUAAUCAAUAAUGUAAAAGUCAAAUAAAAGCAGAAUCAGUUAUGAGCUUAUUGGGAUGCAUGUUUGAUAGCACAUCCUCCUAGGCUAAGACCAUUAAAAGAGACCAAGGAUCCUGAUUAUUUCAGGUAAGCUCCCUGGGUAAUAUUCAAUUCGCACAAGGAAAAGAGAAAAAUUAAUUAGCAAUCAGUACACCUCAAAGAUUGCAGUACCCUAGGGUGACAUUAGUAACCGAGUCUUUUCGCCAUAUCAUCCUCAACACUACUACCAGGUUUGAUUUUCCAACCAGCGAAAGCUUGAGUCAAAUUUUCAAUUCAUUCUCCCAUCCCCAACCAAGAUUAACAAAUACCCCUUCUUUUUAUUCUAAGUUUUUCCACUCUUUUUAAAUCUUUACUCCAAAGUCUGCAGCUGUUGGUCAUAAGAAUUUGGAGUAAAGAUUUAAAA
rnacentral:misc_RNA from 1 species